rnacentral:tRNA from 1 species
GCCGGAGUGGUGGAAUUGGUAGACACGAGGGACUUAAAAUCCCUUGGGCACUGCGCCCGUAUGGGUUCGAGUCCCAUCUCUGGUA